AGUGAACGCUGGCGGCAUGCCUAACACAUGCAAGUCGAACGAAGGCUUCGGCCUUAGUGGCGCACGGGUGCGUAACGCGUGGGAAUCUGCCCCCAGGUUCGGAAUAACAGCGAGAAAUUGCUGCUAAUACCGGAUGAUAUCGCGAGAUCAAAGAUUUAUCGCCUGAGGAUGAGCCCGCGUAGGAUUAGCUAGUUGGUGUGGUUAAGGCGAACCAAGGCGACGAUCCUUAGCUGGUCUGAGAGGAUGAUCAGCCGCACUGGGACUGAGACACGGCCCAGACUCCUACGGGGGGCAGCAGUGGGGAAUAUGGGACAAUGGGCGAAAGCCUGAUCCAGCAAUGCCGCGUGGGUGAUGAAGGCCUUAGGGUUGUAAAGCUUUUUUACCCGGGAUGAUAAUGACAGUACCGGGAGAAUAAGCUCCGGCUAACUCCGUGCCAGCCGCCGCCGUAA
rnacentral:rRNA from 1 species